rnacentral:rRNA from 1 species
UACGUAGGGUGCAAGCGUUGUCCGGAAUUAUUGGGCGUAAAGAGCUCGUAGGCGGUCUGUCGCGUCUGCUGUGAAAACUCAGGGCUUAACCCUGAGCCUGCUUCCGAUACGGGCAGACUAGAGGUAUGCAGGGGAGAAUGGAAUUCCUGGUGUAGCGGUGAAAAUGCGCAGAUAUCAGGAGGAACACCAGUGGCGAAGGUGGCACUCUGGGCCGAUACUGACACUGGAGGAGCGAAAGCGUGGGGAGCGAACAG